UCUGGUUUUUGUCUCAGCAGGUGGCAGCACCUAGUCAACCUUGUCUGAAUUUCAAAGCUAAGCAGGUUCAGGUUUGGUUUUUACUUCAGUGGGAGCCUACAAGGGAUAUCAGGGCUGGAAAACCAGAA
rnacentral:rRNA from 1 species